UCGGAAUCACUGGGCGUAAAGGGCGUGUAGGCGGGAAGGUAAGUCAGAUGUGAAAUCCCCAGGCUCAACCUGGGAACUGCAUUUGAAACUCCCUUUCUUGAGUACCGGAGAGGAAAGUGGAAUUCCUGGUGUAGAGGUGAAAUUCGUAGAUAUCAGGAGGAACACCAGUGGCGAAGGCGGCUUUCUGGACGGUAACUGACGCUGAGACGCGAAAGCGUGGGGAGCAAACAGG
rnacentral:rRNA from 1 species